GGAGAGAUGGAUGAGCGGUUUAAGUCGCACGCCUGGAAAGCGUGUAUAAGUUUAAAAACUUAUCGAGGGUUCAAAUCCCUCUCUCUCCA
rfam:Candidatus Profftella armatura, complete genome.